AACGAACGCUGGCGGCAGGCCUAACACAUGCAAGUCGAACGCCCCGCAAGGGGAGUGGUGCACGGGUGAGUAACGCGUGGGAAUAUGCCCUUCGGUUCGGAAUAACACGGGGAAACUUUUGCUAAUACCUGAUACGAUCUUCGGAUGAAAGAUUUAUCUCCGAAGGAGUCGCCCGCGUAGGAUUAGCUAGUUGGUGAGGUAAUGGCUCACCAAGGCGACGAUCCUUAGCUGUUACGAGAGGUUGAUCCGCCACACUGGGAAUGGGACACGGCCCAGACUCCUACGGGAGGCAGCAGUGGUGAAUAUUGGACAAUGGGCGAAAGCCUGAUCCAGCCAUGCCGCGUGAGUGAUGAAGGCCUUAGGGUUGUAAAGCUCUUUCGCCAGGGAAGAUAAUGACGGUACCUGGAAAAGAAGCCUCGGCUAACUCCGUGCCAGCCGCCGCGGUAAUAC
rnacentral:rRNA from 1 species